rnacentral:rRNA from 1 species
UACGAAGGGGGCUAGCGUUGCUCGGAAUCACUGGGCGUAAAGCGCACGUAGGCGGAUUGCUAAGUCAGGGGUGAAAUCCUGGAGCUCAACUCCAGAACUGCCUUUGAUACUGGCGAUCUUGAGUCCGGGAGAGGUGAGUGGAACUGCGAGUGUAGAGGUGAAAUUCGUAGAUAUUCGCAAGAACACCAGUGGCGAAGGCGGCUCACUGGCCCGGUACUGACGCUGAGGUGCGAAAGCGUGGGGAUCAAACAGGG